AUACGGAAGGGGCAAGCGUUGUUCGGAAUCAUUGGGCGUAAAGGGCGCGUAGGCGGUCUCGCAUGUCCGCUGUAAAAGCACACGGCUCAACCGUGGAGAGUCGGUGGAAACUGCGAGACUUGAGGCUGGGAGGGGCUGGUGGAAUUCCCUGUGUAGCGGUGAAAUGCGUAGAUAUGCGGGAGAACACUCGUGGCGAAGGCGGCCAGCUGGACCAGUUCUGACGCUGAGGCGCGACAGCGUGGGGAGCAAACAGGAUUAGAAACCCCGGUAGUCC
rnacentral:rRNA from 1 species